AGAGACGUUGGCCGGGAUAGCUC
rnacentral:tRNA from 6 species